rnacentral:snRNA from 1 species
AGCUUUGCGCAGUGGCAGUAUUGUAGUCAAUGAGGUUUAUCCAAGGCGCGAUUAUUGCUAAUAAAAUUAGAAGGCAAAAUAAAACUUAUAAUCAGUAACAAAAUUUAAACCAGAAGAUAUAAAGAAAAAACAAAAUUUUAAUGUAACUUUUGAAAAUGUAAUUAUAUC